GAACUCCCGCGAAGUGCACCUCGGGAAUCGUAGUUCUGAAGGGAGCGCGAGGCUCUUCGCCAAGCGGGUGGCUCGCUGCUCUGAGGAGAUAAUCCGCAGAAGUCGCGGUGGAUGACUUGAGUGUGGCCCGGUAUAUGUGCUUCGGCCAGGGCUAGUGCUCUGGAUCAAAGGCCGGCGGGUCCUGCUUCCCUGAAGCCCUCACUGUUUCCUAUCUCCUGCUGCAGAGGCUGGCUGGAUUAGUGUGCAAAAUGAAGCAAUGAAAUGACUUCCCACGAGCAUCCAUAAGAACAGGGUGCAAAAAUCCUUGGAGCCUUUGGUCUGAUGUAGCAGGAAUCCUCUUAUGUUUUUAUAAUCUGAUUCCAGACUCAUGGUUGGAUCCUUGUAUUGAAUUAGAACAAGCACACUCUCUUCGAGGUGUGAGGAAGGCAACACGUGAGCAGGAGUGAAAGGGAGGUGCUUCCAUUGCCUUCCAACUUAGGGCAGCUGAGUGGGUGAAGCAGGCAGUCUUUCUUAGCAGGGUUCCAAACCACACGGAGAGCCCCUAACAAAUAGAAAUAUCCCUGCCCAAUCACUAAAGUCUUCAAGGCAGUCAUGGUUGGGAUUGAUGGUUUGGAUCCACCAGGAACCAUGUGCUUAGACUUGGGGGCCCAAUUUAAGGGAACUCCUUUCUAGCUGAGCUCAGACAGGCCCCUUUCUGGUUGCACUUCUGGUGCCUACGAAAGACAUAAAAUUAUUAUUCCAGGGAGUUUGAUUUUAAAGUUUUAACUUAUUUUUAUUUUUUG